rnacentral:rRNA from 1 species
GCAGUCGAACGGCAGCAUGAUCUAGCUUGCUAGAUUGAUGGCGAGUGGCGAACGGGUGAGUAAUACAUCGGAACGUGCCCUGUAGUGGGGGAUAACUAGUCGAAAGAUUAGCUAAUACCGCAUACGACCUGAGGGUGAAAGUGGGGGACCGCAAGGCCUCAUGCUAUAGGAGCGGCCGAUGUCUGAUUAGCUAGUUGGUGAGGUAAAGGCUCACCAAGGCGACGAUCAGUAGCUGGUCUGAGAGGACGAUCAGCCACACUGGGACUGAGACACGGCCCAGACUCCUACGGGAGGCAGCAGUGGGGAAUUUUGGACAAUGGGGGCAACCCUGAUCCAGCAAUGCCGCGUGUGUGAAGAAGGCCUUCGGGUUGUAAAGCACUUUUGUCCAGAAAGAAAUCGCACUUACUAAUAUUAGGUGUGGAUGACGGUACCGGAAGAAUAAGGACCGGCUAACUACGUGCCAGCAGCCGCGGUAAUACGUAGGGUCCAAGCGUUAAUCGGAAUUACUGGGCGUAAAGCGUACGCAGGCGGUUGUGCAAGACCGAUGUGAAAUCCCCGGGCUUAACCUGGGAAUUGCAUUGGUGACUGCACGGCUAGAGUGUGUCAGAGGGGGGUAGAAUUCCACGUGUAGCAGUGAAAUGCGUAGAGAUGUGGAGGAAUACCGAUGGCGAAGGCAGCCCCCUGGGAUAACACUGACGCUCAUGCACGAAAGCGUGGGGAGCAAACAGGAUUAGAUACCCUGGUAGUCCACGCCCUAAACGAUGUCAACUAGUUGUUGGGGAUUCAUUUCCUUAGUAACGUAGCUAACGCGUGAAGUUGACCGCCUGGGGAGUACGGUCGCAAGAUUAAAACUCAAAGGAAUUGACGGGGACCCGCACAAGCGAUGGAUGAUGUGGAUUAAUUCGAUGCAACGCGAAAAACCUUACCUACCCUUGACAUGCCACUAACGAAGCAGAGAUGCAUUAGGUGCUCGAAAGAGAAAGUGGACACAGGUGCUGCAUGGCUGUCGUCAGCUCGUGUCGUGAGAUGUUGGGUUAAGUCCCGCAACGAGCGCAACCCUUGUCUCUAGUUGCUACGAAAGGGCACUCUAGAGAGACUGCCGGUGACAAACCGGAGGAAGGUGGGGAUGACGUCAAGUCCUCAUGGCCCUUAUGGGUAGGGCUUCACACGUCAUACAAUGGUGCAUACAGAGGGUUGCCAAGCCGCGAGGUGGAGCUAAUCCCAGAAAAUGCAUCGUAGUCCGGAUCGUAGUCUGCAACUCGACUACGGAAGCUGGAAUCG